UCAAGCCAAAGAGAGGAAGAAGAAGCCGGGGAAGAGGGAUCAGACUCUAAAAGGAGCCUUCAGAUAUCACCUGUCAUUGACUGUGUGUCUAUGAAGAGUGGAUGGUCAAUAGACCAACCAGUGCACUUCAAAGACGACAUUACAUCUGACCAGAUACCCCAAAUGGGGAAGGAAGAGUCGUCUGGAUCAGGUUGUUUGACGAAUAAAGACUCAAGUGAUGCAGAUGUGCUUUUCAAACAGAAGUCAGAUUAUCCAAGGAAAGAGGAAGAGCUGGUUAUAGAAAAGCACCACUUAACCAGUUUAACCUGUUUACUAAAUGAAAGUAGAUCACACAGUCCCUAAGUCGGCACGGAGUGAAGUGCGUUCAUUUAGCCUUAACUGGUAAGUUUCCAUAUAAGAAUUUCAAUUUUUUAAAUAACUGUUUGAUUACUCACUUUCCUUGA